rnacentral:lncRNA from 1 species
CAUUUAGUUUUGAUAUUCUAAAUUCUAGAAUUAUUUUAAAAGAUUUUUGCUAUUAAAUGAAUUUAUUUAUUAUAUGUUACAGUCAAAAUUUGGGAAAAUCAAGGAUAAAGUUUGAAAUGUUUAUUGAUUUUAGCAUUUAUUUUUAUUUCGAAAUAUAUAAAGUGACAAAUACUGUUUACGAACAAAGGAUGUGUUAACUGCUAAUGAAAUUGUGUGGUCUUGAGUUUCGUAACGAAAUGGUUCGAACGUAAAGUGAAGAUCAUAAAUAUUUCAAGUAUAGUAGAAUAUGUUUGGAAUACAAAUGCGUUUAAAGUUCGCCAAGAAAUGGAUGUGUAUGCACACAAGGAUACCAUAUGCGGCAAGUUUCUUUUGCUCCUUUAUCGAGGUUCGUCGUUGGAAGUCGAAGGAUAAGGGCAAAUAGAAUUUGGCCCUACGUUUCCGUUCCAUCGUAUUGUCAAGUGAAUUGACUUGGUUCGACGAGGCAUCCUCGAAGGUAUACUCGUUCCUGUAGGAGAGAUAAAUCCUUGGACGGCACACGGUAUUUCUACGACCAAUUUGAAAUGUUCGUGACCAGGCAGGAGGAGACGGUAAAGUCCCAUCCAACGGGGUCGAUGUACUUCCGGAACUUGGAAAAAAUGUUUGCGCGUCGCGGAGGUGAGAACCACUGGAUUCCAGCGGAUCGCGGUUAUUACGUUGUUACAAGGGUAGGCAAAAGCUUUGAGAUUCGUAGUUCUCUCUCACGGUUACGUACGAGAUGAUUUUCUCGAAUUCUAUUCGAAAACAGAUGUGAUAACUGUAACAAAGUAAAAUCAACUUUGCCAAUGAAUAGUCAUUGUCGAUUAGAUGAUGAUUUUGGUCUGUCUAUUGACAAGUCAUUAUAUGUGUAAAGAAUUGUAAAAGUAUGGAAUAUUGUUUUUGAGUUUAUUAGAAAAUUGUUUAUACAGUUUGAAUAUGUUACAAAUACAACCAUCUUCAUUAAUAAUGAUCGUCAUUGACAAUCAAAUGAGAGAAUAGAAAUUUUGAUCUUUUCUUCUACGAAUCACUGUAUACAAAAAAUUAUUAUGUGAUGUAAUUAAUUUCAAGAUCAGUAAAGAGAAAGUACCUUGUAUAUAGUUCAUUGCAAAUACAAUUGUCUCCAUUAAGAAUCAUUGUCCAUUAAUUGAUGAUAAAAUAUUUAUAUCGAAAAAAAAUCACUGUAAAGAAUUAUCGUCUUGAUAUUUAAGCAUUAUAGCAUUUCUUUCUAGAGAGGGAAAUAUUCUAAAGUUCAUAACAUUUCAAAACGUUAUUGUCAUUAAUCUAUCAGAAUAGUUUUUUUGACUUCAUUGAGAGUUAAAAAUAGAUUUAAAUGCCAUCAAAAAUUUUCUUUGAGGAAAGAAUGAAAGAAAAAAUAGAUAAAGUAUAUACAUUAUAAUUAUUAAACUAAUCAUUAUGGCUGGUAAUGGCACAGCCAAGCGGAGAUGAAAGAAUAAAUACCAAGCAUUGUAUUCAGAAUCGUCUUUAAGAAAGAAUCACCUUGUACAUAGUGUGUACAUAACAUCUGAAAAAGUUGUACCUUUAGCUGGCGUCGAGUUAAUUAAGUUUGCACGUCUGCCUUUCGAGAUCGGAUACAGUGCACGAGUAUACCGCCGAUAGACUUCGAAAGGAUACAUGAAUUAUUUUGUACCAAUAAUCGUUUCCCGUUUUUCUUACGAGACUCGUGAGAAUCGACUUUACAAUCGGCAAAUAGAAUCAAUGAAUCGCACGAGUUUCGAGUGAGUCGAGAAAAUUUUAUUUUAUUUUAUUUCCAUUAGUAUGUUAAUGAUUCAGGUGAACGAUGAUUUGAAAUUUUUUUAAAUUUAAUCAAAUUAGUUUGAAAUUAAUUUUUUUCGCGUUAA